rnacentral:rRNA from 1 species
UACGUAGGGUGCGAGCGUUAAUCGGAAUUACUGGGCGUAAAGCGUGCGCAGGCGGUUUUGUAAGCCAGAUGUGAAAUCCCCGGGCUUAACCUGGGAACUGCAUUUGGGACUGCAAGGCUAGAGUGUGGCAGAGGGAGGUGGAAUUCCACGUGUAGCAGUGAAAUGCGUAGAGAUGUGGAGGAACACCGAUGGCGAAGGCAGCCUCCUGGGCCAGCACUGACGCUCAUGCACGAAAGCGUGGGGAGCAAACAGG